GCUUGUAAUCCCAGCACUUUGAGAGGCCGAUGCAGGCGGAUCACCUGAGGUCAGGAGUUCGAGACUAGCCUGGCCAACAUGGUGAAACUUUGUCUCUACUAAAAAUACAAAAAUCAGCCAGGCGUGGUGGCGAGUGCCUGUAGUCGCAGCUACUCGGGAGGCUGAGGCAGGAGAAUCGCGUGAACCUGGGAUGCGGAGGUUGCAGUGAGCUGAGAUCAUGCCGCUGCACCCCAGCCUGGGAGACAGAGGGAGACUUGGUCUCAAAAAAAAAAAAAAGAAAAAAAGAAAAGUCCCUAACUAGGUAAGAAAGUAAGGACUCGGUAAGGGAGUAGUUGUGUUUCUUUUUUGUCUUCCACAAAAUACGCUGAGGGAGCUUUGCGCUCCCUCUUCAGACAAUGCUGCUGAGCCAGGCAGGGUGCUGAACCUGCCCUGGUCGGGGGUGGUGCCGUGGAGGGUGCACUUCAGCUUGGAGCACACUCAGGAGAGUUAGUCUGCAGGGAGUGGGCCGGCCUGUUUAUUACCAUUGUUGUCGAGCUCCCAGCACUUGGGUGGGUCAGAAUGCAGGGAGGGAAGCAGCGCCAUUUAUUGUAGUUGUCAGGCUCAGAAGUGAGCAAGACGGAGUUCUUUCCCUAUGGAACUUAUAUUCAGAUCCUGAUGCAGAGGUGUGCCUUCAUGUACUGAGGCUUGUCCAGUCUGUGGUUCUGGAACCUGAAGUCUUCUCCAAGUCGGCCUCUGAGUUCCGGAGCUCCCUGCCCCUGCAACGCAUCCUGGCCAUGUCCAAGAGCCGCAACCCCCGCCUGCAAACCGCAGCCCAGGAGCUCCUGGAAGAUCUCCGCACUCUGCAGCAUAAUGUCCCCAGCAGAUGCAACACUAUAUCACUACCCGCCUCUCCUCUGGACUGGGGACACCAUGCAGGUGGCAGUCACAUCCACCCAGGGGUGCCUCCGAAGGUUUGCAGACUGGACAGACGCAGGACCCUCCAUCCAGCCUCCUGUGGAUUAGAAGGCCUCUCUGUGAUGCCUCUGCACCUGUGUUGGCUGCCUUCAUUCAGGUACCUUUUCACACUUGUAUGACUCCAACGGGCUGAUUCAGUACCGAAGAGUGUUCCCAGCAGCUGACGAUGACUGGAACUUGGGGAACGUCUCCAUGGCCAGACAGGGCCCUGUUGAGGUGGCUGAGGCCACAGCUUAACACCAGCAAACCAUUUGCUGGUGGUCACAAGACGGGGUGAGUAGCAGCUGCACAUUCCUGCAGAGUGAGCAGGCAUUCCCAGCUGGGUGGAUGAAGGCCCUCCAGCCUGGAUGUGGGAGCUCGGACUGUCCCCUUUGCCCGGCACACACUACUGCACCCCAUCGGCUACAAUGCAUUGCCUACCACGGGGUCUUCACCCACCCGCAGCUCUGCUCCGAUUCCAGGCUGGGCCCUUCUUCCUCUGGCCACUGUACUUCUAUUUUUUUAGUCUUUGGCAUAUUUGUUUUUAUUACUGUAAAAUACACAACACAAAUUUUACCUUUGUGACUGGGUGCGGUGGCUCAUGCCUGUAUUCCCAGCACUUUGGGAGGCCAAGGCGGGCAGAUGACUGAGGUCAAGAGUUCAAGACCAGCCUGGGGAAGGUGAUGAAACCCCAUCUCUACUAAACAUACAAAAAAUUAGUUGGGCAUGGUGAUGGCCAUAUGUGGUCCCAGCUACUUAGGGGGCCGAGGCAGGAGAAUCGCUUGAACCCAGGAGGCGGAGGUCGCAGUGAACCGAGAUCGUGCCACUGUACUCAAGCCUGGGUGGCAGAACGAGACUCCAUCUCAAAAAAAAAAAAAAAAAAAAAAGUUACCAUCUUAAACCUUAAGGCUCAUCCAUGUUGUAGCAUGUGUCAGAAUUUCCUUACUUUUUAAAACAGAGUAAUAUCCCAUUUUGUGGAUGGACCACAUGUGUUCAGGUGAGUACCUAGGACUAUAGUCAGAAAUGGGGUCUUACUAUGUUGCCCAAGCUGGUCUCAAAUUCCUGGCUUCAAGUGAUCCUCCCACCUCAGCCUCCCAAAGUGUUAGGAUUACAAGUGUGAGCCACCACACCUGACUGAGUUAAUUUUUGUAUACAGUGUAAGGUAAAGAUCCAACUUCACUUUUAGAAAAAAUGUAAAUGGAUUUCCAAUUUUCCCAGCACUAUUUGAUGGAAAGACUGUCCUUUCCCCAUUAAAUGGUGUUGGUACUCUCAUCAAAAAUCAUCUGACUGUAUAUGCAAGUGUUUAUUUCUGGGCUAUUGUAUUCCGCUGGUCCAUAUGUCUGUAUGCCUGUACCACGCUCUAUUGAUUACUGUAGCUUUGUAGUAAGUUUUGAAAUAUGGAAGUGUGAGUCUUCCAACUUUAUUCUUCUUUCCAUAUUGCCUUGAUUGCCAGUCAUGGUGGCUCACUCCUGUCAUCCCAGGACUUUGGGAGGCUGAGGUGGGAACAUUGCUUGAGGCCAGGAGUUUGAGAGCAGCCUGGGCAACAUAGAGAUCUUUUUUCUACAAUAAACAAUUUUUAAAAAUUGGUGGGGCAUGGUGGCUCACACCUGUAAUUCCAGCACUUUGGGAGGCUGGGGUGGGUAGAUCAUGAGGUAAAGAGAUCAAGACCAUCCUGGCCAACAUGGUGAAUUUCUGUCUCUACUAAAAAUACAAAAAUUUAGCUGAACGUAGUGGUGCACACCUAUAGUCCCAGCUACUUGGGAGGCUGAGGCAGGAGCAUUGCUUGAGCCUGAGAGACGGAGAUUGCAGUGAACCGAGAUCACGCCACUGCACUCCAGCCUGGGCGACAGAGGGAGACUCCAUCUCAAAAAAAAAAAAAAGGUGGAAUGGUGGCAUAUGCCUAUAGUCCCAGUUACUCAGGAAGCUGAGGCAGGAGGAUCAAUUGAGCCCAGAAGGUUGAGGCUACAGCGAGCUAUGAUCGUGCUACUACACUUCAGACUGGGUGACAGAGCAAGGCCCUGUCUCUAAAAAAAAAUGGAAAUACAUUUUUUAAAUAAAAAAAGAUUGGCUUGACUAUUCAGAGUCCCUUGCAGUUCCAUAUGAAUUGUAGAAUGGAUUUUAAAAUUUCUUUAAAAAGUGCUGUUGGAUUUAGGUAGGUAGUUAUGGUGUUGAAUGUGUAGAUUGCUUUGAGUAGUAUUAACAUCUCAAUAUUAAGUCUUCCAAUUCAUGAACAUGGGAUGUCUUUUAAUGUCUUCUUUAAUGUCUUUCAGCAACAUUUUGUAGUUUUUAUUGUAGAAAUCUUUCACCUCCUUGUUUAAUUUCUAAGUGUUUCAUUCACGUUGACGCUACUGCAAAUGGACUUGCGUUCUUCAUUUGGUUUUGGGUUGCCAUUUGUUAGCGUAUAGAAAUGAGCUUGAUUUUUGCAGGUUGAUUUUGUAUGCUGCAACUUUGCUGAAUUCAUUUAUUAGUUCUAACAGAUUGUGUGUGUGUGUGUGUGUAAUCUUUAGUUUUUGGUGCACAAACAGGAUUUUACUUCUUCCUUUCCAAUUUGGAUGCCUUUGUAUGUCAGCAUGUGUGAGUGAUAGUGUGUGGCAGGGGAGUGCUGUGUGCAUGUGUGUGUGUGCGCACACAUGUGUGUUUGAGAGAGAGAUGGGUGAAGUCAGCUGGCUGGCCUGGGUGCUCUCUGGGGCUAAAGAGCACCACUCCUGGGAGUCCCUGCUCCACAGGACAAGGGAGUACGCUGGAGUUUGGGGUCCCUGCUGACAGGACAAGGGAGUGCACUGGAGUUUCGGGGUCCCUGCUCCACAGGACAAGGGAGUGCACUGGAGUUUGGGGUCCCUGCUGACAGGACAAGGGAGUGUGCUGGAGUUCGGGGUCCCUGCUGACAGGACAAGGGAAUGCGCUGGAGUUCGGGGUCCCUGCUGACAGGACAAGGGAAUGCGCUGGAGUUCGGGUCCCUGCUGACAGGACAAGGGAGUGUGCUGGAGUUCGGGGUCCCUGCUCACAGGACAAGGGAAUGCGCUGGAGUUCGGGCAGCAGGUUCACAUUAGGGGUGUUCUCGUAGAUGUCUCUGGAUUUCAGUAGCUGGAUCCCAACCAAAGCAAUUGGUGGCAGCUUUGAAUUGUAAAAUUUCACUGCUUCUGAAAGACCUCUCCUUCUGUGUGUCUUCUCCACAUCCUAGGCGAAAAAUUGUUUCAGAGCGAAUCUCAGG
ensembl:lincRNA